rnacentral:lncRNA from 1 species
UCUAUGAAACUUAUACACUAAAAGUCUAUUCUCAGCAAUCUUAUACUCCUUUCCAUUCCCGUUCAUACCUCUCUCUCUCCAAUUGAGCAAGUCUUCAUAUACCCAAAAUACCAAAACACCAAAAUUCUUCAAAAUCCUCUAAGAACGGAAGUCACCAACUGAAAUGGAGAAGGAAUUGGAGUAAGGUGCAGUCCAAAAGAAGAAUUUAACUCAACUAAUUGCAAGUUGGAGCAAGGAUUUGAUCAUAACAUCAAGCUACAAAGAGGUACGUUAGUUAUAUUUGCUGAGUUUAUGAAUUGAGAAAAUAGAGAAUAGUUUAUUGUUACUAUAAAUUGAAUUGCUUGAUUUGUGAUUGAGUUGUGAAUUAGUUUGAGGAGGUUUAUGCAUGACAUAUGGAGUGAUAAGGAAGAAAUUUUUUGGAUAAAUUCAUGUAAGAACUCUAUUUUUAAAACUAAUGCACAUAUAGUGUGUUUGAAAAAUUGCGCUGUCAAGCAUAAAUAGAAGGAUUUGGUCAAGUUUGUGAUUAAGGAAUUCUUUAUACAUGUUUUAUAAAGUAAGUCAAGCUGUUUGGGUGAUCCCAAACAAGUUUAAAAGCGAAUUUAUGAGAAUUGAACAAGUUUGGCUCGGUUGAAAAUCUGCUCCAACAUGGCAGUUUUGAGCUCUUAUAAAACCGGUUUAAGUUGUUCAUUUUGGCUGAUUUAUAUUUUUAUAAAAUAAUAUGUAGUACCAUCUAGAACAUAUUAAAAUUUGAGAGCAAUUAGAUGUGUGGAUUGCAAGAUAGAAAAUCGUAAAGUAGGCAAGAAAAUAACAAAGUUGUUAGAAAUCUGGAAAAUUUCUUAGUCUGAAACUACUGUGAAUGGGCUGUUUCGCGCCAUUGUUUCGAAGCCUUGUCAAACUCUUUUCAUACAUGUUAUAUUUUUUAAAAAAUACUACGUAGUAUGAGGUAGAACAUAUCACAAAAUGGCUUCAAUCUGAUGUAUAAUGAGUGAGAUAAUAUUUUGCAAAACUAGCACGAAAAUCACAAAAUUCAAAAUUUCUAGAUUUUUGCCAAGAGCCUGGGCAGUGUGCAUGCAAUCCUACGAAGGUUACUGUUUCUAGCACGCCGAGUUAAUUUUUGGGCAUUACGUAAUUUUUUGAUGUGUUGCUCAAUUUUUCGUAUAGAAUCCAAAUAUGUAAUCAUUUCGUAGCACUUUUUGGAAAACCCAAAAAGUGUGAACUAAUUAGAAGAAAAUUUUCGCUAUUUUGUUAACUUUGAUGCAAUUUCAUAAUAUAAUUAAGUUGUGUAGUAGUAUGGAUGUAUUUGUUAACCUACAUAAGGUAUAAUACAUCAAAGCAUAAGGUAGGGCUAAGCAAGUAAUCAAAUUGGAACAGAAACCACACCAAAAACCGCACGAACCGCACCAAUUAAAAUCGCAUCACCGAUUCCGGCGUAUUUGGCGGUUAUAGGUGGGUUGAAUAACUAAAUUUACGAUUCCGAUUUGGUUACUAGCCAAAAUCGCACGCAUAAAAUUGAGUUCGCACCAUGUGUGUGUAUGUAUGUAUUAUCUCUAGUAAAUUCUAAAGUUACUUUCACAUGAAUACGCUCAGAGAAAACCUCAGUCUUGCAUUGUCAUUGUUUCACCAAUUGAAAGAAGAUUGUUAGAGGUUAUAGAGUCAAAAAUUAAGCAAUUGAGUUUUGGAAUUUCGAAUUUGUUUGAUGCGUUAUUGGAGGGGCUUAUAGCUGAGGGGCCAAAUUCGUUGAUUUGAGCACUUGAUGCAUUGGUUAAGGUCAAUAUUAUAAUAGUAAUAGUCUAAUAGAUUAUUUUUCAAAUUAGGUAAAGUUAGGAUUAUAUCCUAUAAGUCCUCCCUGCAAUAUAUAAGAUAGAAUUUCAUUCUAUCUCCAGUAUAUACUAUUAAUUUUUGGAGAACUAGAUAAACAUUCUAUCUCCAGUAUAUACUGUUAAUUUCUGGGUAACCCAUAAUAGUUAUCAUGGUCGGUCAACGGUUUUGUAGCUUUCAUAUCUUUGAAUCUGUGUAAUAGAUUUGUGUUGUGUUUGUUGUAAUAGGUAGUCUAUAUGUCAAAGUACAUAUAUAUAACACUAGUUUGGACCAAGCAUGAUUCUAAGGUCUCGAUCUAUAUAUGUUGGUCAAAGUACAGCCAAAGGUUGUUCUUCAUGUUCAUCAGUUUUUUGGGUAACCCAUAAAACUUGGUCAAGCUCGGUCAACGAAUUUUGACCAUUAAUUUCAGUAAUCAUAUGAACUGUUUAACCAAUUUAAGGUCAUAGAUAUGUAAUAUGUAUAUCAAGGUAUUAAUUUAUUACAAAAAGUUAUUAAAACAACAAACAGAAAGCGAUUAAAAGGCUGGUCAAAGUAGUCAGUUCAACCUGUUCUUAAGUUUUCUGGGUAACCCAGAAAACAGAACAUCGUGAUCGGUCAACCACCUUUGACCACCUAUAUCUUGAAAUAUAUGGUUCUAAUGAACCUGUUUUCUUUUUCAGAAUAAAGACCUCAUGUCAUGCUACAAAUAACACAUAAUUAACAGACCUAAUUAUUAACAUACAUGAAUCUACAAGCUUUGAUAUUCGACUGUCAGACUUGUUUUUUCAAAAUUCCUAGAUUGCUUAACACACUAAUUUGAGGCAUCUAGAUGUUAUGAAAACAUGUUCUAUUAACUUAGCAUACUUUCUAACAUGUUAUUACAUAUAUCUAAACAUCUAAACAACAAUUUGAACAAAGCAUCAAAGAUCUAGCUAUGAAUUAGGGUUUGCACAUUUCUUGCUUGAUUUUGAUUUCUGGCUAUUGAAUCUGUUAUUGCUAUCACCAGGGCUUGUAUAGGCAGGUUAUAUGAGUGUUUUGGCUUAUAAUUUUUGUGGGUUUGUUCUGAGCUAGGUUUUUUUUUAUAAAUUUUUCUAACUUGGCUUUUUGGUCAUUUUUCCGCCUACUUGCCUCCUAAAAGAUCUGAUCUAUGACUCUUCUGGUGCUUGAGAGUUUGGAAGCAUGUCAUGUGAUGUUUUGGGACUUGUGUGGAUGACUCUCAACCUACUUGUGAGCUAGUUGACCAAAUUAGUAUCUUAAAUAUGCCCUAAUUCUCAUUAAUUUUGAUUAGGGUUUUGUUUUUAAUGAUUAGGGUUGCUUAAUGUUGUUUAUUAGUACCUAAUUGACAUUUAUUAAUCAUGAUUAGGUGUUAGAAUAACCUAAUUAGGGUUUAGUUUAGCUAAUUAGGGUUAGGGUUUACAAAUUAGGGUUAGGAUUUAUAAUCUAGGGUUUCUAACCUUGAUUUUACAUAAAUCCUAACAAGCACGACAAGGCAUUUUGUCAGUGUAAGCAUGAUAAAGCAGCUUAUCAAAACAAAUAUACCAAAAAGUUCAUUUUCAGAAGAAAAUUUUUAAGCACAAGGUAUCAAGCACGUCAAUUUUUGGGCGAAAAUUUAUUUUACCAAAUUUGUUUAACAAAGUAUAUAUUAACACAUAACAGUUUCAGAAUGGGGAGAUUUUAUUAAUAUAACUGAAUUUAUAUAUCCGAGUCUUAUUAGGGUUUUGCGGUUUUACAUUCACCCCCGCUAAUAAGAAUUCUGUCCUCGAAAUUACAGUACAGGUUAAGUAAACAGUUAGGGAUAGUUCUCUCGCAUUUUAUCUUUGAGCUCCCAUGUAGCCUCUUCAACGUUCUGAUUCCUCCAGAUCACUUUGAACGAUGCUAUCACUUUAUUCCUCAGGACUUGCUCUUUACGAUCAACGAUCUGCACAGGUUCUUCUACAUAAGAAAGAUCUUCUUCAAUUUCGAUUAGCUCAUAAUUUAUAAUAUGUUUAUAAUCAGGUUUGUAUGGUUAUAAUACGAAUACAUGAAACACAUUAUGAAUAUGGUUUAACUCAGGAGGUAGUGUUAUUUCAUAAGCAACUUCACAUAUGCUCCUCAAAAUUUCAAAAGGUCUAAUGAAUCUCGAACUCAGUUUUUCUUUCUUGCCAAAACGUAUCCUUCCAAGGAGAUACUUUCAAGAAUACGUGGCUUCUUACGCUAAAGUUUCGUUGUUGACGAUGUGGAUCAGCGUAUUUUCUCUGACGAUCUUGAGAUGCUUGUAAUCGCUCACGUAUAAUUCUGAUGGUUUUAGUAGUUUGUUGAAUUAUAUUAGGUCCUAACAUUUGUCUUUCCCCGACCUCAUCCCAACAUAAGGGUGUUCUACAUUUUCUCCCAUAUAAGGCUUCAUAUGGUGGCAUACCUAUACUAGCAUACAUAUACUAGCAUGAUAACUGUUGUUGUAGGCAAAUUCCACCAAAGGUAAUUGAUCUUCCCAACUUCCUUUGAAGUUAAUGAUAUAUGUUCUCAACAUAUCCUCUAAUGUUUGAAUGAUUCUCUCACUUUGCCCAUCUUUUUGAGGGUGAUAAGAUGUAUUCAAUCUUAAUUGUGUUCCUAAAUGUUUUUGAAGGCUCUUCCAAAAAUCCGAAGUAAAACGUGGAUCUCGAUCUGAUACUAUAGAAACAGGUACUCCAUGCCUAGAGAUGAUUUCAUUAAUGUAUAGCUUGGCAAGGUGGUUUAAGUUAUGGGUAAUUUUAAUAGGUAAAAAGUGAGCUGAUUUGGUUAAACGGUCAACUAUUACCCAAAUGGCAUUGUGGCCCUUCUGUGUACCUGGAAGGCCUACCACAAAGUCCAUGGUUAUAUGUUCCACUUUCACUCAGGAAUUGGUAAGGGUUGAAGUAAUCCACUUAGCUUUUGGUGUUCAGCUUUAACCCUUUAACAUGUGAGACAUUUACUUACCCAUUCAUCUAUUGCUCUUUUCAUAUUCGACCACCAAAAGUGUUGACUUAAGUCUUUGUACAUUUUUGUACGGCUAGGAUGUAUGGCAAAUGUAGAAUUAUGAGCUUCGUUUAAGAUUUCGUCUUUUAAGGGUUGGUUUAACGGAACCCAAAUUCUAUCUUCAUAUCUUACUAUUCCAUCCUUGUCUAUUCUUAAUAUGAGUUAUAUUAGACUUAUAUUUCUGACAUUCAUCAUCCUUUUCCUGCAUCUCUUCGAUUCUAUCAAGUAGAGAUGAAACUCCCUCUAGAAUGAAUAACUUUUGGGUAGAGAUUGUUGGACAUUCCACCUCAAUUUCUAAUUUUUCAAAAUCUUUUAUUAACCUAUCAUUGGUGGUUAUUACGUUCAACUUUUCUUGAUUCUUUCUACUUAACGCAUCAGCUACGACAUUAGCUUUACCGGGAUGAUAUAAGAUUUCACAUUCAAAAUCCUUUAUCAAUUCUAACCAUCUUCUCUGUCUUAAGUCCAGUUCUUUUUGGUAAAAAAUAUUUUAGACUUUUAUGAUCUGUAUAUAUCUCGCACUUCUCCCUGUACAAGUAAUGUCUCCAAAUUUUUAGAGCAAAGACUACCGCAGCUAACUCUAGGUCAUGAGUAGGAUACCUCUUCUCAUAAUCUUUGAGUUGUCGUGAUGCAUAAGCAAUCACUUUCCCAUGUUGCAUCAACACACACCCUAAACCUCUAUGUGACGCAUCACUAAAAAUUACAAGGCAUCUUGUAUCAUCUGGUAAGGACAACACUAGAGCCAUGCUCAAUCGCUUCUUCAACUCUUGAAAGCUCUCUUCAUAUUUUUUUUGUCCAAACGUAUUUGACCAUCUUUCGAGUUAAAUUGGUUAGUGGGGUUGCUAUUUUUGAAAAAUCUUUUAUAAACCAUCGAUAAUAACCUGCUAAACUGAUAAAACUUCUUACUUCUAUUGGAAUUGUUGGUUGUUCCCAAUUCACAACUUUUUCGAUCUUAGUUAGAUCUACUGAUAUUCCAUCUUUGUCAAUUACAUGACCUAAAAAUUGAACUCUCUUUAACCAGAAUUCACACUUCGAAAAUUUCGCAUAAAGUUGUUCCUUUCAUAAUAUCUCUAAAAUAACUCUCAAGUGUUCAACAUGUUCUUCCUGUGUUUUCGAGUAUACCAGAAUAUCGUCGAUAAACACUACAACAAAUUGUCCAAGCAUGGUUUAAACACUCGAUUCAUUAAAUCCAUAAAUGUUGCUGGUGCAUUUGUCAAUCCAAAAGACAUUAUAAGAAACUCAUAAUGUCCAUAGCGAGUCCUGAACGCUGUUUUUGGCACAUCUUCCUUUCUUAACUUUAACCGAUGAUAACAUGUUCUAAGGUCAAUCUUUGAAAAGUGUUCGGCCCCCUUUAAUUGGUCAAACAAAUAAUCAAUCCUUGGUAAAGGAUAUUUAAUCUUAAUGGUUAAUUUGUUUAAUUCUCUAUAAUCUAUACAUAAUCUCAUGGUUCCAUCCUUCUUCUUUACAAAUAAUAUUGAUGCUCCCCAAGGUGAAACACUAAGUUGUUUGUACUUUUUAUCUAAGGGUUCCUGUAAUUGUACUAGUAACUCUUUCAGUUCUACAGGUGUCAUUCUAUACGGUGCCUUAGAAACCGGUGCCGUUCCCAAUGCAAGAUCAAUGACAAACUCAAUUUUCCUAUAUGGAGGUAAACCUGGUAAGUCAUCCGAAAAUACAUCGGGAAAAUCCUUAACUACGGGUAUUUGAUCUAGUUUUACUCCUUCCUGUUAAGUAUCAACCAUCUAGGCAAAAUAUCCUGAACAAUCUUUUUUAAAUAACCUUUCUGCUUGAGUUAUGGUCAAGCAUCUAGAUUGCUUAGGUGAACAACUUCCGUUGAACACUACCUUUGACUUCGAUGCAGUAAAAAGGUUUAUACGUUUUUGAUGAUAAUCAAUCAUCGCAUUAUGGUUAACUAACCAAUCCAUUCCUAAGAUUAAAUCAAAUUAUCCCAACUAAAUUGGAAUAAGAUCUACCAGAAAAUUGUGUCCCUUAUCUCCACACUACAAUUCCUAUAUAUGGUUUUAACCGGAAUCUUUUCGUUGUUUGCAAUUUCUAUACAAAAUGGUUUGUCUAAAUUUUCACAUGUUAUAUUCAGGUUUUUAAAAAAACUAUUAGACACAAAGGAACAAGUAGCACCAGAAUCGAAUAACACAUAUGCAUUUAAAGUGUUGAUAGGGAUGAUACCUGUCACCACGUCCUGUGCAGCAACAGCAUCCCUCACCGACAUAUUAAAUGUUCUCGCGGUUGGUCGACUCUGAACUCCAACUACAGCUACUGUUGACUGAUUAUUGUUAUUCUUCGGUACUCUAUUCCCCUUUCCUCCCUGGUUCUUAGGUUUGGGACAAUUUCUUGUGAAAUGAUCCGACAAACCACAAUUGAAACAUUUCUUUUUAUUGGGGAGAGGACACUGUGGAGAAAGGUGUCCCAUUUGUCCACAAUUAUAACAUUUACUAUUAAAACAUACCCAUUUAUGUUUUUCUCCAUAGGUAUAACAAGGUUUAAUGUUAUUAUUACUAAAGUUACUAUUGUUAUUACCUAUAUUUUUUCCCGUGUUAUUGGAAAAAGUAGUAUACCAUUUCUGUUUAUUAUUAAACCCACCUAAAUUGGGUUCAGUCUUAAGUUUCCCUUUCUCAUUUUGACUCUUCUUUUUCUGAUAAAAUUUAAUGAGACUUUCGUUUUCACUUUCAGCUAUAGAAGCUUUCUCGAGUAUUUCUGAAAAAGUCUUUAUUUGGAGUACCGAUAAUUUACUUCGUAUCUGAGGUUUCAAACCUUCUUGAUACCUCUGAGUCUUUCUAAGUUCAAUAUUGACUUGGUGAGGAGCAAACCUGGACAGUUCGUUGAACUUGGCUGUAUACUGAGAUACAGUCUCCUUGUUUUAAUUCUAGAAAUUUUACUUCCAUAUGAUCUUUCAAAGAUUGAGAAAAAUAGUUUUCAAAGAACAAAUCUUUGAAUUUAUCCGAAGGUACAAUUUUAGUUUCUACCCGACACUUAGGUGAUUCCCACCAAUCAGGUCUCUUUGUUUUAAUUCUAGAAAUUAUACUUUCAUACGAUCUUUCAAAGACUGAGGAAAAUAGUUUUCAAAGAAAAAUUCUUUGAAUCUAUCCCAAGGUACAAUUUCAGUUUCUACUUGACCCUUAGUUGAUUCCCACCAGUAAUUAGUCUCACCUUUCAAGAAAAAGGUUGCAAAAUUCGUCUUUUGAUUAUUAUUGACAUUGGUUACUAGAAAAAAAAUUUCUAUUUCAGUAAUCCAAAUUUUUGCAUCGACAGGUUCAGUUGUACCUUUGAACUCAGGUGGACCAACUAAUUUAAAAUCUUUAAAGGAAGUGUUUUGGGUGGUUGGUCUAUUCAUAGCACCUAACAAAAGUUCUACUAAAUUUUGGGCAGGAUUAUCAUCAUUAUUUAUCUCUCGUUGGGGUUUUCUGGUUGGUAGCAUGAUUCUAUAUAAAAUAACAAGAAAAAUCCUCAUAAGAAUUUGAAUAAUACAAACAUAUCUUUUAUUCAUAUAUCACAAGAGUCAUACAAAACGACUUAGUAGUUUACACAUACUACUAGUUCUAUUACAAACUUUAAAUGUUCCUUUAUUCAUACUAUUAUAGAGCAUUUAGACUUCUAUACUACCCUCUUGAACUCAUUAACAUCAUCGAAGGAAUCUUAGAUUAUGUGGCAUACAACAGAUCGAUCUAUCAGAUAGGCAGUUUUCUUCUCCUCCACCGGAUAUCGAAGUACUCGACGCUGCAAAUCGUUGAAAACAUCUCGAGUACCCAGAGUAGAUUUGAGAAGCCUUGACAGUAUUUUUUUCCUGCCCCUUUGUGCAUGGUGCAGUUGUACUUUUAGUCGAUUAUUGGUUCCCCUUUCAUGCUUUAACAUUCCCUCAACUAAGUGUGCCCUAAACUGCAUUUUAUUAUUCUCAUAUUCAGAAGUCUUCAUUAGUAAUGUCAUUGCUUCAUCAUGUUCAUCAAUUCUCAUUAAUUGCCCUGCUACUGGAUCUUCCUCUUCCUCAGCAUCUAGCAGUUGUUGAUCACGAAGCAAUUCUUCAUCCUCUGCAUCACUAGCUAUAAAUGACUCAAUUUGUGGUGGAUUGUUUAGUACUAUCACCAUUUCUUCAGCACUGGAGUUAGCCAUCUUUAAAAUAAAAAUUCCUUUAAUACUGGUAUGGAAAUUUACACAACACAAUAUUGUUUUUAUGUUAUUUUUAUGUGUACUUUAAAAUUUUUACGGACUCGAAUACUAUAUACUAAGAUUUCUCUUCCUUAUAUCUAUAGCCUUAACAGCUCUGAUACCAUUAAUGUAACACCCCCAUAUCUAUACAUCCACUGUAUCCGAUAUGGUGCUUACUACAAGUCAAUAUAUAUAACGCAUUCAAAUCUAUACACACAUGGUAUCCGAUUAAAUGCUUAUAUCUAAUUGAGUGACUAUACAAUUUAUAACCAGAUAUAAUUUCCAUAGAUUCAAGAUUCAUAACAUCCCAUAACAGAUAACAAUUCUCAAGAGAACUAUUGGUGUGUUUGGAUACCCUCACAUGGAUAUAUGAACUAUAUCUGUGAAUAGUAUAUAUCUAUCCGAAGUUCAGAGUAUCAGUAAUAACAUGAACAGUCCAUAUUACCAAUACCCUCACUCAGAUGUAUAGUCUAUGUCAUGUGAAUUACACUAUCGUAUCGAUAGUACCUAUUUAUCCAAAAUUCAGAGUAUUAACAACAUGAACAGUCCAUGUUAUCAAUACCCUCACUCAGAUAAAUAGUUCCCAAGGAUCUCAACUAAUUUGAACAUUCUAAUUACAUCUAUAUAUGUAAGAAAACACGGUUGCAGAAAUAAAAAAUAUUAUAUAUCAUAAAUAUUAAGGUUUGAUUACAUGAUUCUUCAUAAAGAAUUUCUUAUUACAAAGUAUUCAACCUGACAGGAAUACAAGCUAAUCUAAGCAAGGACGGUUCCCUUUAUCUACUCCAGAUGUGUCAGGGUUAUUAUCUAAUACUGUAAAGGGAAUAAUUUGCAAGGGUGAGCUAUGACAUUCUCAGCAGGCACUUUAUUUAUAACAAUAUAUGAUUUGAAAAAGUAUAACAAUUUAAAAUUUAACUGAUAGUUGCUACCAUUUCUGGAAUUUCUUUUUUAACCAUUUCUAGACUUUUUAUUUCUGUCAGUCACACAGACUUAGAAACUUUGUUUAGAUAUGAGAUAGGGGAUCAGUCUACUCAAUAUCCUAGGAGUAUGUAUCUCAUCCUAUUAGUGCUCAUAUGCACCCAAAUGUCUUGCUUUGGUAAGACAUCUUAUCCUAAAGUUGUGUAUCCCGUAAGGGAUCGAGAUUUGGUCAAUAAUAUAUUGACAUUUGGGUGCAUAUGAGCACUAGUAGGAUGAGAUGCAUACUCCUAGGAUAUUGAGUAGGUUGAUCCCCUAUCUCAUAUCUAAACAAGGUUUUUAAGUCUGUGUGACUGAUCACAAAAAUAAAAAGUCCAGAAAUGGUUGAAAAAGAAAUUUCAGAAAUGGUAGCAACUAUCAGUUAAAUUUUGAAUUGUUAUACUUCUUCAAAUCAUAUAUUGUUAUAAAUAUAAAGCCUACUGAGCAUGUCAUAGCUCACCCUUCCAAAUUAUUCCCUUUGCAGUAUUAGAUGGUAACCCUGGCACAUCUGGAGUAGCUAAAGGGAAGCGUCCUUGCUUUAAUUAGCUUAUAUUCCUGUUUGGUUGAAUACUUUGUAAUAAUUAAGAAAUUAUUUAUGAAGAAUCAUGUAAUCGAAUCUUAAUAUUUAUGAUAUAUAACAUCUUUUAUUUCCGCAACCGUGUUUUCUUACAUAUAUAGAUGUAAUUAGAAUCUUCAAAUUAGUUGAGAUCAUUGGGAACUAUUUAUCUGAGUGAGGGUAUUGAUAACAUGGACUGUUCAUGUUGUUGUUAAUACUCUGGAUUUUGGAUAAAUAGGUAUUAUCGAUACAAUAGUGUAAUUCGCAUGACAUAGACUAUACAUCUGAGUGAGGCAAUUGGUAAUAUGGACUGUUCAUGUUAUUACUAAUACUCUGAACUUCGGAUAGAUAGAUACUAUUCACAGCUACAGUUCAUAUAUCCAAGUGAGGGUAUCCAAACACAGCAAUAGUCCUCUUGAGAAUUGUUAUCUGUUAUGGGAUACUGUGAAUCUUGGAUCUAUGGGAAUUAUAUCUGAUUAUAAAUUGUAUAGUCACUCAAUUAGAUAUAAGAAUUUAAUCGGAUACCAUGGGUGUAUAGAUUCUAAUGUGUUAUAUAUAUUGACUUGUAGUAAGCACCAUAUCGGAUACCAUGGGUGUAUAGAUAUGGGGGCGUUACAUUAAUGGUAUCAAAGUUGUUAAGGCUAUAGAUAUAAGGAAGAGAAUCUUAGUAUAUAUUAUUCGAGUCCGUAAAAAUUUUAAAGUACACAUAAAAAUAACAUUAAAAAUAAUAUUAUGUUAUUUUUCAUACCAGUAUUAAAGGUGUUUUAAUUUUAUAGAUGGACAACUCCAGUGCUAAACAAAUGGUGAUAGUAAAUAAUCCACCACAAAUUGAGUCAUUUAUAGCUAGUGAUGCAGAGGAUGAAGAAUUGCUUCAUGAUCAACAACUGUUAGAUGCUGAGGAAUAGGAAGAUCCAGUAGCAGGGCAAUUAAAUGAGAAUUGAUGAACAUGAUGAAUGGCAUCACUAAUGAAGACUUCUAAAUAUGAGAAUAAUAAAAUGCAGUUUAUGGCACACUUAGCUGAGAGAAUGUUAGAUCAUGAAAGAGGAACUAAUAAUCAACUGAAACUACAAUUGCACCGUGCAAAAAGGGGCAGGAAGGAAAUACAGUUAAGGCUUCUCCAAUCUGCUCUGGGUACUCGACAUGUUUUCAAUGUUUCCAGCGCCAAGUAGUUCGAUAUCCAGUGGAAGAUAAGAAAAAUGCCUAUCUGAUAGAUCAAUCUGUGGUAUGCCAUAUGAUCCAGGUACAACUGAACCUGUCGAUGCACAGAUUUGGAUUACUAAAAUAAAAACAAUUUCCUAGUAACCAAUGUCAAUAAUAAUCAAAAGAUGACUUUUGCAACCUUUUUCUUGAAAGCUGAGGCUAAUUACUGGUGGGAAUCAACUAAGGGUAGGGUAGAAACUGAAAUUGUACCUUGCGAUAGAUUCAAAGAAUUGUUCUUUGAAAACUAUUUUUCUUAGUCUUUGAAAGAUCGUAUGGAAGUAAAAUUUUUAGAAUUAAAACAAAAAGACCUGAUUGUAUCUCAGUAUACAGCCAAGUUCAACGAACUGUCCAGGUUUGCUCCUCACCAAGUCAAUACUGAACUUAGAAAGACUCGGAGGUAUCAAGAAGGUUUGAAACCUCAGAUACGAAGUAAAUUAUUGGUACUCCAAAUAAAGACUUUUUCAGAAAUACUCGAGAAAGCUUCUAUAGCUGAAAGUGAAAAUGAAAGUCUCAUUAAAUUUUAUCAGGAAAAGAAGAGUCAAAAUGAGAAAGGGAAACUUAAAACUGAACCCAGUUCAGGUGGGUUUAAUAAUAAACGGAAAUGGGAUACUAUUUUUUCCAACAACCCGAGGAAAAAGAUAGGUAAUAACAAUAAUAACUUUAGUAAUAAUAACAUUAAACCUUGUUCUACCUGUGGAGGAAAACAUAAAGGGGUAUGUUUUAAAAGUAAAUGUUACAAUUAUAGACAAAUGGGACACCUUUCACCAUAGUGUCCUCUCCCUAAUAAAAAUAAAUGUUUCAAUUGUGGUUCGUCGGAUAAUUUCGCAAGGAAUUGUCCCAAACCUAAGAACCAGGUAGGAGAGGGAAUAGAGUACCGAAGAAUAACAAUAAUCAGUCAACAGUAGUUGCAGGCGAAGUUCAGAGUCAACCAGUCGCGAGAACAUUUAAUAUGUCAAUGAGGGAUGUUGUUGCUUCAAAGGAAGUGGUGACAGGUAUCAUCCCUAUCAACACUUUAAAUGCAUGUGUGUUAUUCAAUUAUGGUGCUACUUGUUCCUUUGUGUCUCAUAGUUUUUCUAAAAACCUGAAUAUACCAUGUGAAAAUUUAGACAAACCAUUUUGUAUUAAAAUUGCAAACAACAAAAAGAUUCCGGUUAAAACCAUAUAUAGGAACUGAAGUGUGGAGAUUGAAGGACUUAAUUUUCUAGUAGAUCUUAUUCCAAUUCAGUUGGGAGAAUUCGAUGUAAUCUUAGGAAUGGAUUGGUUGGUUAACCAUAAUGCGAUGAUUGAUUGUCAUCAAAAACAUAUAAACCUUUUGACUGCAUCAAAGUCAAAGGUAGUGUUCAACGGAAGUUGUUCACCUAAGCAAUCUAGAUUCUUGACCAUAACUCAGGCAGAAAGGUUACUUAGAAAAGGUUGUUCAGGAUAUUUGGCCUAUAUAGUUGAUACUCGACAGGAAGGAGAGAAAUUAGAUCAAAUACCUGUAGUUAAAGAUCUUCUCGAUGUAUUUUCGGAUGACUUACCAGGUUUACCUCCAGAUAGGGUAAUUGAGUUUGUCAUUGAUCUUCCACCGGGAACGACACCAGUUUCUAAGGCACCGUACAGAAUGGCACCUGUAGAACAGAAAGAGUUACUAGUACAAUUAUAAGAACUCUUAGAUAAAAAGUACAUACAACCUAGUGUUUCACCCUGGGGAACACCAUUAUUAUUUGUAAAGAAAAAGGAUGGAACCAUAAGAUUAUGUAUAGAUUAUAGAGAAUUAAAUAAAUUAAACAUUAAGAAUAAAUAUCCUUUACCAAGGAUAGAUGAUUUGUUUGACCAAUUAAAAGGGGCCGAACACUUUUCAAAGAUUGACCUUAGAACAGGUUAUCAUCGGUUAAAGUUAAGAAAGGAAGAUGUGCCAAAAACAGCGUUCAGGACUCGCUAUGGACAUUAUGAGUUUCUUGUAAUGUCUUUUGGAUUGACAAAUGCACCAGCAUUUAUGGAUUUAAUGAAUCGAGUGUUUAAACCAUGCUUGGACAAUUUGUUGUAGUGUUUAUCGACGAUAUUCUGGUAUACUCGAAAACACAUGAAGAGCAUGUUGAACACUUGAGAGUUAUUUUAGAGAUAUUACGAAAGGAACAACUUUAUACGAAGUUUUCGAAGUGUGAAUUCUGGUUAAAGAGUUCAAUUUUUAGGUCAUGUAAUUGACAAAGAUGGAAUAUCGGUAGAUCCGACUAAGAUCGAAAUGGUGGUGAAUUGGGAACAACCAACAACUCCAACAGAAGUAAGAAGUUUUCUCGGUUUAGCGGGUUAUUAUCGACGGUUUAUAAAAGAUUUUUCAAAAAUAGCAACCCCACUAACCAAUUUAACUCAAAAGACGGUAAAAUACGUCUGGACAGAUAAAUGUGAAGAGAGCUUCCAAGAGUUAAAGAAGCGAUUAAGCAUGGCUCUAGUGUUGUACUUACCAGAUGAUAUAGGAGGCCUUGUAGUUUUUUAGUGAUGCGUCACAUAGAGGUUUAGGGUGUGUGUUGAUGCAACAUGGGAAAGUGAUUGCUUAUGCAUCACGACAACACAAAGAUUAUGAGAAGAGGUAUCCUACUCAUGACCUAAUGUUAGCUGCGGUAGUCUUUGCUCUAAAAAUUUGGAGACAUUACUUGUACGGGGAGAAAUGCAAGAUAUAUACAUAUCAUAAAAGUCUGAAGUAUAUUUUUACACAAAACAAACUGAACUUAAGACAGCGAAGAUGGUUAGAAUUGAUAAAGGAUUUUGAUUGUGAAAUCUUAUAUCAUCCCGGUAAAACUAAUGUCGAAGCUGAUGCGUUAAGUAGAAAGAAUCAAGAAAAGUUGAACGUAAUAACCACCGAUGAUAGGUUAAUAAAAGAUUUUGAAAAAUUAGAAAUUGAGGUGGAAUGUCCAACUACCUCUACCCAAAAGUUAUUCAUUCUAGAGGGAGUUUCAUCUCUACUUGAUAUAAUCAAAGAGAUGCAGGAAAAGGAUGAUGAAUGUCAGAAAUAUAAGUCUAAUAUAACUCAUAUUAAGAAUAACAAAUUCAAAAUAGACAAGGAUGGAAUAGUAAGAUAUGAAGAUAGAAUUUAGGUUCCGUUAAACCAAACAUUAAAAGACGAAAUCUUAAACGAAGCUCAUAAUUCUAAAUUUACCAUACAUCCUUGCAGUACUAGAAUGUACAAAGACUUAAGUCAACACUUUUGGUGGUCGAAUAUGAAAAGAGAAAUAGCUGAAUGGGUAAGUAAAUGUCUCACGCGUCAAAGGGUUAAAGCUGAACACAAAAAGCCGAGUGGAUUACUUCAACCCUUAACAAUUCCUGAGUGGAAGUGGGAACAUAUAACCAUGGACUUUGUGGUAGGCCUUCCAGGUACACAGAAGGGACAGGAUGCCAUUUGGGUAAUAGUUGACCGUUUAACCAAAUCAGCUCACUUUUUACCUAUUAAAGUUACCCAUAACUUAGACCACCUUGCCAAGCUAUAUAUUAAUAAAAUCAUCUCUAGGCAUGGAGUACCUAUUUCUAUAGUAUCGGAUCGAGAUUCACGUUUUACUUCAAAUUUUUAGAAGAGCCUUCAAAAACAUUUAGGAACACAAUUAAGAUUGAGUACAGCUUAUCACCCUCAAACGAAUGGGCAAAGUGAGAGGAAAUCUAGAACACCCUUGUGCUGGGAUGAGGUCGGGGAAAGACAAAUGUUAGGACCUGAGAUCAUUCAACAAACUACUGAAACCAUCAGAAUUAUACGUGAGCAAUUACAAGCAUCUCAAGAUCGACAGAGGAAAUAUGCUGAUCCACAUCGUAAACAACAAAACUUUAGCGUAGGAAGCCACGUAUUCUUGAAAGUAUCUCCUUGGAGGGGUAAGAUACAUUUUGGCAAGAAAGGAAAACUGAGUCCGAGAUUUAUUGGACCUUUUAAAAUUUUGAGGAGGAUAGGUGAAGUUGUUUAUGAAAUAGUACCACCUCCUGAGUUAAACCAUAUUCAUAAUGUGUUUCAUGUGUCCGUAUUACAACCAUACAAACCUUAUUAUAAACACGUUAUAAAUUAUGAGCCAAUCCAAAUCGAAGAAGAUCUUUCUUAUGUAGAAGAACCUGUGCAGAUUGUCGAUCGUAAAGAGCAAGUCCUGAGGAAUAAAGUGAUAGCAUCGGUCAAAGUGAUCUGGAAGAAUCAGAAUGUUGAAGAGGCUACAUGGGAGCUCGAAGAUAAAAUGCGAGAGAACUAUCCCCAACUGUUUACUUAACCUGUACUGUAAUUUCGAGGACGAAAUUCUUAUUAGUGGGGGUGAAUGUAAAGCCCCAAAACCCUAAUAAGACUCAGAUAUGUAAAUUCAGUUAUAUUAAUAAAAUCUCUCUGUUUUGAAAGUGUUAUGUGUUAAUAUAUACUCUGUUAAACAAAUUUGGUCAAAUAAAUUGACGGGCUUGACACCUCGUGCUUAAAAAUUUUCUUUCGAAAAUGGACUUUUUGGUAUAUUUAUUUUGACAAGCUGCUUUGUCGUGCUUACACUGACAAAAUGCCUUGUCGUGCUUGUUAGAAUUUAUGUAAAAUCUAGGUUAGAAACCCUAGAUUAAAAAUCCUAACCCUAAUUUGUAAAUCCUAACCCUAAUUAGUUAAACUAAACCCUAUUCUAACACCUAAUCAUGAUUAAUAAACUUCAAUUAGGUACUAAUAAACAACAUUAAGCAACCUUAAUCAUUAAAAAUAAAACCCUAAUCAAGAUUACUGAGGAUUAGGGAAUUAUUAAGCUACUAAUUUAGUUAACUAGCUCACAAGUAGGUUGAGAGUCAUCCACACAAGUCCCAAAAUAUCACAUGACAUGCUUCCAAACUCCCAAGCACCAGAAGAGUCAUAGAUCAGAUCUUUUAGGAGGCAAGUAGGUGGAAAAUGUCCAAAAAGCCAAGUUAAAAAAUUUAUAAAAGUUCUAGCUCGGAGCAAACCCACGAAAAUUAUAAGCCAAUACACUCAUAUAACCUGCCUAUACAAGCCCUGGUGAUAGCAAUAACAGAUUCAAUAGCCAGAAAUCAAAAAUCAAACAAGAAAGGUACAAACCUUAAUUCAUAGCUAGAUCUUUGAUGCUUUGUUCAAAUUGUUGUUUAGAUGUUUAGAUAUAUGUAAUAACAUGUUAGAAAGUAUGCUAAGUUAAUAGAACAUGUUUUCAUAACAUCUAGAUGCCUCAAAUUAGUGUUUUAAGCAAUCUGGAAAUUUUGAAAAAAUAAGCCUGACAGUCGAAUGUCAGAGCUUGUAGAUUCAUGUAUGUUAAUAAUUAGGUCUGUUAAUUGUGUGUUAUUUGUAGUAUGACAUGAGGUCUUUAUUAUGAAAAAGAAAAUAGGUUUAUUAGAACCAUAUAUUGCAAGAUAUAGGUUAUCAAAGGUGGUUGACCGAUCACGAAGUUCUAUUUUUUGGGUUACCCAGAAAACUCAAGAACAGAUUGAACCGGCUACUUUGACCAGCCUUUUAAUCGCUUUCUGUUUGUUAUUUUAAUAACUUUUUGUAAUAAAUUAAUACCUUGAUAUACAUAUUACAUAUCUAUGACCUUAAAUUGCUUAAACAGUUCAUAGGAUUAUUGGAAUUAAUGGUCAAAAGUCGUUGACCGAGCUUGACCAAGUUUUAUGGGUUACCCAGAAAACUGAUGAACAUGAAGAACAGCCUUUGGCUGUACUUUGACCAAAAUAGAUUGAGACCUUAGAAUCACGCUUGGUCCAAACCAGUGUUAUAUAUAUGUACCUUGACAUAUAGACUACCUAUUACAACAAACACAACACAAAUCUAUUACACAGAUUCAAAGAUAAGAAAGCUACAAAAUCGAUAACCGACCAUGACAACUAUUCUGGGUUACCCAGAAACUCAAGAACAGCUCUGAUAGUGACUUUGAGCCUCUAUAACUUCUUGUUAUAUGUAGGUUAAAGCACAAAAUUUGUCUGAUGUUGUACUACUGUAUGAGUACUAUAACAUCCAUACUUGUCCAAACCCAGAAUCAUUAACAGUAGCAAAGUAGAUCAAGGUCAAAGUGGUCCCUAGACUAUGACCGACUGAAACCCAGAAAUUCAAGAACACAUAUAACGACACUUCCUGUCACUAUAGGGCUUUAGCGACAAACAGAAAUUAUUUUUUAGAAAUUAAUUAAUAAAAAAUAGAAAUAAUUAAUAAAUAAAUACAAAAAUAGUUUUAAAAAUUAUAUUAAGUUAUUAUAAUUAACUUUUGAUAUUUUUACAUAAAUUCAAUAAAUAUUUUAUUUUAUUUGGAUAUUAUUAAUAAUUAAGUUAAUAAUAAAAUAAUUAGAAUAAUUACUUAUAAAUAAUAAAUAAUUAUUGAAAAAUAAUAUUAAUGAUUUAAAAAUCAUAAUAAAUGGUUAUAAAUUAUUUAAAAAUAGUAAACAAGGUUUUUAUAAAAUUCUAAGUAAAUAAAUGAUUUAAAAAUUAUUUAAGGGAUAAAUAAAUACUUAAAAAUUAUUAUAAACUUUUAGAAAUUAUUAUAAAGGAUAUUUAAAUUAUCUAAAAAUAUACUCCCUCCGUCCCAGGAUAAAUGUCAUUAAAUAUGGAGAGAGAAUUAGAAUAAAAAAGUAUGAGAUAUUUAAUGCUACGGGUAUAAUAGAAAAAUAUGUGAAAGUUUGGUUAUUAAAGAAAAAUGGACAUUUAACAUGGGACUACCCAAAAUAGUAAUAAGAACUUUUAUCAUGGGACGGAGGGAGUAAUAAAGCUCAUAAAUAGAUUUUAGUCGAUAUAUCAUCUUAUUUAAUAUUUGGUAAAGUCUUUGGGCACCGAAAACCAUAUCAAACUUAACCCGAACAUAUGUAGAUUAUGUAUUUGAGUAUUGUUAUCAAUACUAAUGUGUUAGAUUUAUAUGAAUGAACAUCUUAGGUGUUUAUUAACGAAUCGAGUAGCAUUGCUUGACUGAUCUUCGCUCAGGCAAGUUCCCUACCCUAAAUUACUUAUGCAAGUUCUCUAUCCUUAAAUCUCUUAUCAAGCAAGUUCCCUAAACCCAAAUUAUUACUUAUGUAAAUUUCUCAAACCCUGUUAAUUCGUUGAACAAGAUUUUAAAUCUUAAAUUAUUGUUGAUAUGAUAUACCAAACCUAAACUUAAAUCACCACUUAUUGUAAUGUUAUUGCUAUAGCUUCAGCAUCACUAAGAAAUGAAUUGUUUAUUCCUAUGAUGUUGUUUAUUGAGCAUAAACUAUUGUGUCAAACCAAAUUACUUUGGUAAGAUAUCAUAUCCUGAAGUUGUGUAUCCCGUAAGGGAUCGAGAUUUGGUCAAUAAUAUAUUGACAUUUGGGUGCAUAUGAGCACUAGUAGGAUGAGAUGCAUACUCCUAGGAUAUUGAGUAGGCUGAUCCCCUAUCUCAUAUCUAAACAAAGUUUCUAAGUCUGUGUGACUGAUCACAGAAAUAAAAAGUCCAGAAAUGAUUGAAAAAGAAAUUUCAGAAAUGGUAGCAACUAUCAGUUAAAUUUUGAAUUUUUAUACUUCUUCAAAUCAUAUAUUGUUAUAAAUAUAGAGCCUACUGAGCAUGUCAUAGCUCACCCUUGCAAAUUAUUCCCUUUGCAGUAUUAGAUGGUAACCCUGGCACAUCUGGAGUAGAUAAAUGGAAGCGUUCCUGCUUUAAUUAGCUUAUAUUCCUGUCUGGUUGAAUACUUUGUAAUAAGAAAUUCUUUAUGAAGAAUCAUGUAAUCGAAUCUUAAUAUUUAUGAUAUAUAACAUCUUUUAUUU